rnacentral:sRNA from 1 species
AACCUUCUCUCAACCACCGCCCUGGGCCAAAAUCUCCCAGCCACUGCUCAGAGGGCUUGCUCUCUGUAGCGGUGUUUGUUGGUUGUAGAUUCUGGCAGCUCGUCCAUCAUGGAGCCAUCUCUCUUUUCCCGGUAGAUUGCUUCGGACGACAGGCGCGAAGAACAACUUUGGCAGCAUCCGGCAGCCUGAGCUCACCGCAAGGUUUGAGCUCGGUGUAAGGGUGUCUGCCAGGCAGACUGAUUCCGUUUCCCUUAUGCUAGGCCGUCGGCCAUUGAUGCUUGGGACUAACCCAGUCGGCUACAUGC